UCGCUCCUACCGAUUGAGUGAUCCGGUGAAUAAUUUGGACUGUGGCAAUGUCUAGCUCUAGACUUUGCUGUAGAAAAUCUUAUGAACCUUAUCACUUAGAGGAAGGAG
rnacentral:rRNA from 1 species